AACGAACGCUGGCGGCAUGCCUAACACAUGCAAGUCGAACGAGACCUUCGGGUCUAGUGGCGCACGGGUGCGUAACGCGUGGGAACCUGCCCUUAGGUUCGGAAUAACUCCCCGAAAGGGGUGCUAAUACCGGAUAAUGUCUUCGGACCAAAGAUUUAUCGCCUUUGGAUGGGCCCGCGUUGGAUUAGCUAGUUGGUAGGGUAAAAGCCUACCAAGGCGACGAUCCAUAGCUGGUCUGAGAGGAUGAUCAGCCACACUGGGACUGAGACACGGCCCAGACUCCUGCGGGAGGCAGGAGGGGGGAAAAUGGGACAGUGGGCGAAAGCCGGAUCCAGCAAUGCCGGGUGGGUGAUGAAGGCCUUGGGGUUGUAAAGCUCUUUUACCGGGGAUGAUAAGGACGGGACCGGGAAAAUAAGCCCCGGCUAACUCCGG
rnacentral:rRNA from 1 species